rnacentral:tRNA from 1 species
AAAUUAUAUAGUUUAUAAAAAAUAUUAAAUUGCAAGUUUGAAGAAGUUCAAAGAAACUAUAAUUUA